CCUACGGGUGCAGCAGUGGGGAAUAUUGGACAAUGGGCGAAAGCCUGAUCCAGCCAAGCCGCGUGUGUGAAGAAGGCCUUCGGGUUGUAAAGCACUUUCAGUGGGGAAGAAAGCCUUGGGGCUAAUACCCUCGAGGAAGGACAUCACCCACAGAAGAAGCACCGGCUAACUCCGUGCCAGCAGCCGCGGUAAUACGGAGGGUGCGAGCGUUAAUCGGAAUUACUGGGCGUAAAGCGCGCGUAGGCGGUCUGAUAAGCCGGUUGUGAAAGCCCCGGGCUCAACCUGGGAACGGCAUCCGGAACUGUCAGGCUAGAGUGCAGGAGAGGAAGGUAGAAUUCCCGGUGUAGCGGUGAAAUGCGUAGAGAUCGGGAGGAAUACCAGUGGCGAAGGCGGCCUUCUGGACUGACACUGACGCUGAGGUGCGAAAGCGUGGGUAGCAAACAGGAUUAGAUACCCCGGUAGU
rnacentral:rRNA from 1 species